GGGGCUGUAGCUCAAUUGGUAGAGCGCCGCUUUUGCAAGGCGGAGGUCAGGGGUUCGAUUCCCCUCAGCUCCACCC
rnacentral:tRNA from 4 species